rnacentral:rRNA from 1 species
UACGAAGGGUGCAAGCGUUACUCGGAAUUACUGGGCGUAAAGGGUGCGUAGGCUGAUCCGAAAGUGCUUUGUGAAAUCCCCCGGCUCAACCGGGGAACAGCGGGGCAUACUACGGAUCUUGAGGCAGGUAGGCGCCGAGGGAACAGUAGGUGGAGCGGUGAAAUGCGUAGAUAUCUACUGGAACGCCGAUGGUGAAGACGCUCGGCUGGGCCUGUCCUGACGCUGAGGCACGAAAGCGUGGGGAGCAAACAGG